rnacentral:tRNA from 1 species
UCCUCGGUGGCUCAGUUGGAUAGAGCGUCUGCCAUGUAAGCAGGAGAUCCUGGGUUCGAGUCCCGGUCGGGGCA